rnacentral:lncRNA from 1 species
CUGCAGGGAGCCGCUGGCCUCCAGAUCUGACGGUGGGAAGACCCGGUCUCCUGAGUGGCCCCUGGGGCUAAAUGAUGAGCACCGACAGUCAGACGGUGCGUCGGCCGAGCUGCAGGGAAAAGGGAAAACACUUUUACUAUGGGUUGUCGUGGUUUUCUUUCCCUGGAAGAGCUGCGUGGAGGUACCAUCACUGUCUCCAUUGUGCCGGCAAGGAGAGUUUAAGUCACGACCCCAGGGGGUGAGUACGGAGCUGGGGUUCCCACCCAGAGCUGGAGGGGGAAGCUGGGAAGGCUGGGAGGGCGCUGCUCCUGCCCCGGGCGAGACAAGCAGUGGGAUUCUCCGAGGCAGGACUUUGCCUCGGGAAGGUGCUGCCUGACGGGAGGAAGGGCUGGGCUCACUUGGAGGGGACCCCUGAGCGUCAUAGUGGGACCCAGGGGCAGUACGGCCAUGACCCUGACUGAAAGUCCACCUGUAUCCUCCCAAGUGUGGGACGGGGGGCGGGAGGGGCCUGGGUUGGCAUGACACUGGAAGGCCUCUCAGCAGAUGCUGUAGGACCCUUGAGUAAAGCAGACAG